GAAAUGCGAUAAGUAAUGUGAAUUGCAGAAUUCAGUGAAUCAUCGAAUCUUUGAACGCACCUUGCGCGCCUUGGUAUUCCUUGGAGCAUGCCUGUUUGAGUAUCAUGAAAUCUUCAAAGUAAAUCUUUUGUUAACUCAAUUGGUUUCUACUUUGGUAUUGGAGGUCUUGGCAGCUUCACACCUGCUCCUCUUUGUUCAUUAGCUGGAUCUCAGUGUUAUGCUUGGUUCCACUCGGCGUGAUAAGUUAUCUAUCGCUGAGGACACUGUAAAAGGUGGCCAAGGUAAAUGCAGAUGAACCGCUUCUAAUAGUCCAUUGACUUGGACAAUACUUUUAUGAUCUGAUCUCAAAUCAGGUAGGACUACCCGCUGAACUUAAGC
rnacentral:misc_RNA from 1 species